AUUCCAUCAGAAAAAUAAGUGGCCAACAUGGGAAUACCUGAAAGAAACAUACUUUUUAUUGAUAAUAACAUCGUUUUUUGGAAAUAACCUUUGUUCUUCUUCUGUAACCUCAGGAAGAUAUUAUUCUCAGACACUUAACACUCGAAGGUGAAGCACUUAGAUAGAAAAUGCACUUCUAAUUUUAAGAUUGUUCCAGCUCAUCAGUAUCUAGAUGAGCAAGGGGAUUAAAAAAAGAAGAUUGCUGGGAAAAGCAGACAAAACAAGAGAAAUAAACAGAGAUCUGCGUCUGUGACGAGCUGAUUCCUGUAAAACAAGACUAAAACAGACUAAAAAGAAGAGGUGUAUUACAUUAAAUUUCUUUGAGCUUGUGGCUGAUUUUAUUAGUGAGAUAUGUUUUCAGACACAAGAAAAGCAUGAAAGAAAAAAUGGUAUAUAUUCAAGGAUGCAGCAGAUACGAUGCAAGGAUCCAAUUCACCUUCUUCAAUACGAUUUAAACAAAGACAGCAGCCCCUCCCCCGAAAACACAAACAAAAUGUGUAAAUAGCUAUGGUGAUGUGCAUAGCUGAAUGAAAAUAAAGGCUAAUUGUUGCAAAAGAGUUAGAAUUUUUAAAAAAU
rnacentral:lncRNA from 1 species